AGUGAACGCUGGCGGCAGGCCUAACACAUGCAAGUCGAACGGCAGCACCGUAAGAGCUUGCUCUUACGUGUGGCGCGUGGCGGACGGGUGAGUAAUACAUCGGAAUCUACUCUUUCGGGGGGGAUAACGCAGGGAAACUUACGCUAACACCGCAUACGACCUACUGGUGAAAGCAGGGGAUCUUCGAACCUUGUGCGAUUGAAUGAGCCGAUGUCGGCGUAGCUAGUUGGCGGGGUAAAGGCCCACCAAGGCGACGAUCCGUAUCUGGUCUGAGAGGAUGAUCCGACACACUGGCACUGAGGCACGGCCCAGACACUGACGGGAGGAAGCAGUCGAGAAUCUUGGACGAUGGGGGAAAGCCUGAUCCAGGCAAACCGGGUGGAUGAAGAAGGCCUUCUGGUUGGAAAGCCAUUUAGUUGGGAAAGAAAAGCAGCACGUUUACACCCGGCUGUUAUGACGGUACCCAAAGAAUAAGCACCGGCUAACUUCGUG
rnacentral:rRNA from 1 species